UACGUAGGUGGCAAGCGUUAUCCGGAAUUAUUGGGCGUAAAGCGCGCGCAGGUGGUUUCUUAAGUCUGAUGUGAAAGCCCACGGCUCAACCGUGGAGGGUCAUUGGAAACUGGGAGACUUGAGUGCAGAAGAGGAAAGUGGAAUUCCAUGUGUAGCGGUGAAAUGCGUAGAGAUGCGGAAGAACACCAGUGGCGAAGGCGGUCAACUGGCCUCAUAUUGACACUCAGACGCGAAGGCAUGGGUAGCGAACGGG
rnacentral:rRNA from 1 species